rnacentral:tRNA from 1 species
GGGCCAGUAGCUCAGCGGUUAGAGCAGUCGUCUUAUAAGCGACAGGCCGAUGGUUCGAAUCCAUCCUGGCCCA